CGGAUGCGGAUCUCGAAAGCCUGUCCCAGUUCGGACUGGAGUCUGCAACCCGACUCCACGAAGUUGGAUUCGCUAGUAAUCGCGCAUCAGCCAUGGCGCGGUGAAUACGUUCCCGGGCCUUGUACACACCGCCCGUCAAGCCAUGGGAGCCGGGGGCGCCUGAAGUCCGGGACCGCGAGGACCGGCCUAGGGCGAAGCUGGUAACUGGGGCUAAGUCGUAACAAGGUAAC
rnacentral:rRNA from 1 species